AGGACGAACGCUGGCGGCGUGCCUAACACAUGCAAGUCGAACGGGACCAGGGGCAACUCUGGUUCAGUGGCGGACGGGUGCGUAACACGUGAGGAACAUGACCCUUCGGCGGGGGAUAGCCGGCCCAACGGCCGGGUAAUACCGCGUACGACCACUUUGGGACAUCCCUCGGUGGUGAAAGCAGCAAUGCGCGAUGGAUGCCUCGCGGCCUAUCAGCUAGUUGGUGAGGUAACGCUCACCAAGGCGACGACGGGUA
rnacentral:rRNA from 1 species